GGCGGAUUAGCCAACGAUAGACGGU
rnacentral:tRNA from 1 species